AUUGAACGCUGGCGGCAGGCCUAACACAUGCAAGUCGAGCGAGCGGCGGACGGGUGAGUAAUGUAUGGGAAUCUGCCCGAUGGAGGGGGAUAACUACUGGAAACGGUGGCUAAUCCCGCAUACUAUCAGAUGCGCCCAGAUGGGAUUAGCUUGUUGGUGGGGUAACGGCUCACCUAGGCGACGAUCCCUAGCUGGUCUGAGAGGAUGACCAGCCACACUGGGACUGAGACACGGUCCAGACUCCUACGGGAGGCAGUAGUGGGGAAUAUUGCACAAUGGGCGCAAGCCUGAUGCAGCCAUGCCGCGUGUAUGAAGAAGGCCUUCGGGUUGUAAAGUACUUUCAGCGGGGAGGCGUUACCCGCAGAAGAAGCACCGGCUAACUCCGUGCCAGCAGCCGCGGUAAUUC
rnacentral:rRNA from 1 species